CCAGUGACAUUAGUUAAACGGCCGCGGUAUCCUGACCGUGCAAAGGUAGCAUAAUCAUUUGUUCCUUAAAUAGGGACUUGUAUGAAUGGCCACACGAGGGCUUUACUGUCUCUUACUUCCAAUCCGUGAAA
rnacentral:rRNA from 1 species